AUCGUAUCAUCUGAUUAAAUCAACGUGGUCAAUCCAGAAGAAGACUUUCCAUGAUGGAGACAGGGCAGUUGCAGGACAGAUGAGACCAUCCAUCCUCUUGACAGCUGACCAGCCAGUCUGGCCACCAAAUAAAUUAAUAGACGUAUUGGUCACAUGUGGGCAGGCCUCCUGGUGCCUUCACCUCCAUGGGCAAUAUACCAGGAAGGCUGUUCAGGGAAGAUGGCGGAGAUGGGAAACUGCAUCCAUGUUAUGAUGCCCACGUUUACAAACAAGCCCUCCCCACAUGACAACCGCGUACAUGGAGAUGAAGUGGAAAACAGCAGUGUAAUUAGAACUAACACGAAUUGAAGCGGAGGGAAAGGAGCAAUACCUUCGUGGUAUCACUCUUGGUUGUGAGAAGAGUUUUGAGGUAAUUUGAAUUCAAUAUAUACUGGACACUAUUUGUAAAGAAAUUGGAUUUUAGUACGAAUUUCAAAGACGGGAAAACUGGAAAAAUGAUGUGAAUGUGGGGUAACCCGAUUGAAUUGAUGCGUGUAUGUUGUGGGUCACAAUGGUUCCAGUACUUGCCAAAACCAAAAUUAUAUUGGCCACAUUUUUGUGUCCACUCUUUGAUGGAGCAAAAUGUUUCUUCUGGUCUUUGCUGAAGGUGAUAU